AUUGCUCUGGGGUGCAGGUAAGACGAGUUGAGGGCUCUGACUAUUAAUAACCUAUCGACCCCCGGUUCAGACGCGGUGAGCAGGCCCUCAUCGAAGAGGGAAGCCUGAAGUGUCUCCACGGGAAAUGAUGAAACCAUGGUCAGUGACGUAAGCUGCUACGGUACUCUGGAGCAACG
rnacentral:other from 1 species